rnacentral:rRNA from 1 species
GAUGAACGCUAGCGGCAGGCCUAAUACAUGCAAGUCGAACGGUGUCUUCGGACAUAGUGGCGCACGGGUGCGUAACACGUAUGCAACCUACCUUACAUUGGGGGAUAGCCUUUCGAAAGGGAGAUUAAUACCGCAUAAGACAGUAGCUGGGCAUCCAGCAGCUGUUAAAGAUUUAUCGAUGUAAGCUGGGCAUGCGUCCAAUUAGCUAGUUGGUGAGGUAACGGCUCACCAAGGCAAUGAUUGGUAGGGGAACUGAGAGGUCAAUCCCCCACACUGGACAUGAGAUACGGGCCAGACGCCUACGGGAGGCAGCAGUAGGGAAUAUUGGGCAAUGGACGCAAGUCUGACCCAGCCGUGCCGCGGGCAGGAUGAAGGCGUUAUGCGUUGUAAACUGCUUUUAUACAGGAAGAAACGACUCUUGCGAGAGGCAUUGACGGUACUGUAUGAAUAAGCACCGGCUAACUCCGUGCCAGCCGCCGCAGUAACAC